GGAUCCCAAAGGUGCGGCAGCUGGAGGCUUGUGCUCCUGGAGGGAAAUCUGAGCAGGGCUCUCUUCCACAGCUGCCAUACCUCCUUUACCUGGAACCUGGAGAUGCUCCUUGCAAUGAAUGAUCCAGAGCAGCUUAUAGUCAAAGGGAAGGCUGACUCUGGAACUCAAGCCUUCUCACUCAAAGGCCAGUAGUCUUUGUUUCUGGUGAGGGCCAGAUGAAUGAAGCAUAAAUAGUUUGUCCUGUUUUAUCAGUAGCUGUCACAAGGCAUCAUUUCUUUGGCAGCAGAUCUUAGCACAGUUUAUAUGUUUAAUAUUUAACAUAUAUCAGUAACCUAUGACUCAAGCUGAUCACAGACUCAAAUAUAAUGUACCUUGUGGAUGAGCAAGAAGUAAAAAUAGUGUAAGCAUUUCAUCUUGGCCGGGAAAUAGAUAUGAAUGUUCAUGGAAGAAUGAACAAAGGAAGAGGCUUGCAGGUUGGGUCAAUUAAUUCUCUCUCUGGAAUUUUGAACUGAGAUUCACAGAGAAGCUGUUGUGAAGGAGCCAUGGAUAGCUGGAGGGUCUUCCUAGUUAAAGCCUGGACUGAAAACAAGUAAGAAGCACUUUUUGGGUUCGUUCAGUUUUGAGGCAGAGUAUAGUAGUGCAAUCACAGCUCAUUACAACCUGGAACUCCCCAGCUCAAGUGAUCCUCCACCUUCAGCCUCUCAAGUAUCUAGUACUACAG
rnacentral:lncRNA from 1 species